CGAGCGUCAUUAUCAACCAUCAAGCUCUGCUUGGCAUUGGACGUCGUCCCCCGCGGACGCGUCUUAAACCCUUUGGCGGCGGUUACAAACCUCAAGCGUAGUAGAAAUUCUUAGCUUUCUAGGGUUGUGGCCGUUUUGCCUCGAGAACAUCUCACCUCAAGGUUGACCUCGGAUCAGGUAGGGAUACCCGCUGAACUUAA
rnacentral:misc_RNA from 1 species